GAUAAAUGAGACUUACUCAAAAUCUUCAUAGAUAUGAUGACAAAGCCAUACAAUUCUUUAAACUACUGAAGAUUGGCCUCAAACAACGGUAGUUCCUGAGCUUUUGAAGGCUGAUGAAACAAAGGGCAGUUCAGCUUUAAGGUCAAUAUGAAUAUGAAGCGGUUCUUAUCCAAAUCGAUGGACUCUGAGAUAAUAAUCUAUGCCGGUGUACGCCACCUGCUCGACAAAAGGCUUGAACAGCCAUUUUGUUCAUCGUUCAGGUGAACGGGAGACAGUACGCUGCGAGAACAAUGGAUCCUUGAAUAGUUUGAUAUGCUUACUAACUGCAAUAUAAGAUUCUGGAAAGAGACAGAAGACGACUUUGAAGUGAAUUGGAAAAGACUUUAGGCUAUGCUGCUGCUCGCCGCAUGCUCGAUAGAAGGCCUGGACGUCCAUUCUGCCAUAGAAACUGCAUAAGGUCAGCUUUCAACUUGGCAAAUUCAACCUCUCACUAGUAUUUAAGUAUUUUUACUCUCUCUAUAUGUAUAAUUUUAUGCUUAAAACUUAAGCAACAUGUACCAAAUUUGCUUGAAUAUACAUUUGUGUAAUUUCCUGUUGUA